AGCAAGAUCUCAUCUCACCGAGGACGUAGGCAAUCUUUCCGAACCUCGUAAACUUGUGUGCACUUCUUUUUCUUGUUUUUUCAUCAUCUUCUGCAUCGUUUUAGGGUUGCGUUUCUACAAUAGCAAUUCCCCUACCCCUUUUUCUCCUACAAUUGAUUCUCACCUCUUCUCUUUCUUUAUUUUUUUUUAUUUUUAUCUUUGUCUGUUGUUCAAAGUGAGGUUGAAGCCCUCUAAGAUUGCUGAUUAGAAGACACACAAAAAGGCUAUUGAAUCCAGUUACAGGGUUUUCCCGGCAAGAUAUUUUGAAUGUGUAUCUCCCAAACCAGAUCUCUGAUUUCUGCAGGAUUUUGCGGAUUUGUUGAGGACCUUAGGAGGACCAAUCAAUUCAUAUUUGAUGAUCAUCCGACGUUUCCUACUCAAGUUCUUGAAGAAUCACCAAAAGUUUAUUUUUUCUUGCAACCAACAUUAGUCUCAAUCCAAUUGCCGGAAUUUGUUCAGAUUUUUAUGGUUUGUUCCCUCAUAUGAUCUCCAUUCCAUCUAAAUUUCAACCUCAACAGAGCCCCAUUUGGUGAGAUACAAUUUAUGCGAGUUUUGAUCUAAAUCUGAGUCGACUUUCAGAUCUGUUCUUACUGUGGAAUCUGAACUUGAUUUGUGUGUUGGAGUUGAUGAUGGUUCCUACUGGGACUGAUAACCCCUUGGUAAUUUAGUCUAACAUCGACUAUGCUGCUUAUGUUUACAGUUUUCUUUAUUCUCUCAUACCUCUCUUUGAUUCUGGUUAAAGCUGUGGGUUUCCACAUUACUCUUUUCUGGGAGAUUGCUUUUGAAUGUAUAUUCUCUUCCAUUAUCUUUGUUGAAGCUCUAAUAUUUUUUUGUUUCUUUUUAACUUGUUUAUGUUAAUUUAGUCCCCUAACUUACCCCUCUUAUUUGGACACACACACACACACACACACACACACAUAUAUAUUAUGUGGAGUAGCCUGCGAUCAUAACACACUAUCGCAGGCUGCCUCCCACACAUGGUUUUUUUGUGUGUGUGUGUGUGUGUGUUGUCCUUGCCUGCAUUUUCUGGUGACAAAAAGGAUUCUUUGCCACAUUGCUGGUUGCUGCGAAUGAUAAAGUAAAUUUCCAAGUAGACAAUAGAGACUGCUCAUGCUAUCAAUUGAGGUUACUCAUUAGUGCAAAGUGUGCCAUUUGUUUUGCAAAGAGUGAUUCACUGAUAUUGCUCCUGCUUUAUCUUAGUUGGAAGUAAGGUUGAGAGUAUUCCACCCUUCAUACAAACUGGCUAUAGUCAUUGAGUUGCAUACUGUGCACAGUUCAAAUUUCAAGAGUACUAAUUAUCUUAGCCAGAGCUUGGGGUUUCUUCACAUGACGAGGUUCUUUGGGAAGAAAAAAGGGGGGGGGCAUUGUGUGGAUAUUUUCUCAUGCCUUUUAGCCAUAAAUGUCCAAAAAAAUUCGUUCAUAAAUUUCAAUUUUUUUUUUGCACGACUUUUCUGGUGUGUUUCAGAAAGAUUUGUUAUAGCAUCCCCACCUCAAAAUCUCCUCCAAAAAAAACUAAGAAUCUGACUAGAUGAUUAUGAUGACGAAGUUAAUACAAAGAAUAAAGCAGGGCAGCAUACUGAACGUGGUUUUGCACUGAUGCAUUAACGGCAUUUGGUCCCUGUUCAUAUAAAUUUGAAACAUUGUGGUAGAGUGUUAAUCUAUGGACUGAUCUCUCACCUCUCUUCUUUUCUUCUCGGACGAGUACAACAAAUUGGUUAAAUAGGAGUCAACACUGGAGUUCAAUCCUUUUAAACUGCCACUUUGGCACGUUCAGGUACAUUGUUCUUCCUACCCUCAGGUACAAUCUCAAUGGGUUAUUGUUUCUAGUGCAUUUCACAGAUUAAUGAAUCUCAAGUAAAAAGAUGAUUGGUCGGGGGUGGGGAGGCGCAAGUCAAGACAAUGCCAAGUCAAAAAUCACAUAUAACUAGUUUCUGUGCUCUUUGCUCCAGUCUUCAGUGAUUCUCCUCUUCACAGAUCUUCUAGUUGGUUCAUCCCUCUCUCUGAUGAUUAACACUUCUUGUUGCAUCUCUGCAGUCGAUUUCUCAUCCAAAAGUGAGAUUCUGUGAACUUGGAACACAUCACUUGUCCAUAUUUAGUCAUUGGUGUGGGUGAAGUUUAGCCCAUUUAUUUAUAGUUCAGUCAAAUGUAUGGGGCACGUGUUGGGUACCUAAGGGAGUUCAAGUACUUUAUCAUGAUAGAUGAUUACUCAAGUGUAACAUGGAUCUAUUUGUAAGGGACAAAUGUGAAUUCUUAUCUGUAUUCAA